UACGAAGGGGGCUAGCGUUGCUCGGAAUCACUGGGCGUAAAGCGCACGUAGGCGGCUUUUUAAGUCAGAGGUGAAAUCCUGGAGCUCAACUCCAGAACUGCCUUUGAUACUGGAGAGCUUGAGUCCGGGAGAGGUGAGUGGAACUGCGAGUGUAGAGGUGAAAUUCGUAGAUAUUCGCAAGAACACCAGUGGCGAAGGCGGCUCACUGGCCCGGUACUGACGCUGAGGUGUGAAAGCGUGGGGAGCAAACAGG
rnacentral:rRNA from 1 species